GGGUCGUUAGCUCAGUCGGUAGAGCAGAGGCCUUUUAAGCCUUUGGCCCUGGGUUCGAGUCCCAGACGACCCACCA
rnacentral:tRNA from 1 species